GUCCCUGUAGUUCAAUGGAUAGAACCGCGGUUUCCUAAACCGCUGAUCUGGGUUCGAUUCCCAGCGGGGGCACCA
rnacentral:tRNA from 1 species